rfam:TPA: Bos taurus chromosome 2, whole genome shotgun sequence.
UCCCUGGUGGCCCAGUGGUUAAGGCUCUGUGCUUCAACACAGAAGGCCUGGGUUUGAUCCCUGGUUGGGGAA